AUACAUGCAAGUCGAACGAGUUCUCGUUGAUGAUCGGUGCUUGCACCGAGAUUCAACAUGGAACGAGUGGCGGACGGGUGAGUAACACGUGGGUAACCUGCCCUUAAGUGGGGGAUAACAUUUGGAAACAGAUGCUAAUACCGCAUAGAUCCAAGAACCGCAUGGUUCUUGGCUGAAAGAUGGCGUAAGCUAUCGCUUUUGGAUGGACCCGCGGCGUAUUAGCUAGUUGGUGAGGUAACGGCUCACCAAGGCGAUGAUACGUAGCCGAACUGAGAGGUUGAUCGGCCACAUUGGGACUGAGACACGGCCCAAACUCCUACGGGAGGCAGCAGUAGGGAAUCUUCCACAAUGGACGCAAGUCUGAUGGAGCAACGCCGCGUGAGUGAAGAAGGCUUUCGGGUCGUAAAACUCUGUUGUUGGAGAAGAAUGGUCGGCAGAGUAACUGUUGUCGGCGUGACGGUAUCCAACCAGAAAGCCACGGCUAACUACGUGCCAGCAGCCGCGGUAAUACGUAGGUGGCAAGCGUUAUCCGGAUUUAUUGGGCGUAAAGCGAGCGCAGGCGGUUUUUUAAGUCUGAUGUGAAAGCCCUCGGCUUAACCGAGGAAGCGCAUCGGAAACUGGGAAACUUGAGUGCAGAAGAGGACAGUGGAACUCCAUGUGUAGCGGUGAAAUGCGUAGAUAUAUGGAAGAACACCAGUGGCGAAGGCGGCUGUCUGGUCUGUAACUGACGCUGAGGCUCGAAAGCAUGG
rnacentral:rRNA from 1 species